rnacentral:rRNA from 1 species
CAUGCAAGUCGAGCGAUGAAGCUUCCUUCGGGAAGUGGAUUAGCGGCGGACGGGUGAGUAACACGUGGGCAACCUGCCUCAAAGAGGGGAAUAGCCCUCCGAAAGGAGGAUUAAUACCGCAUAAAGUUAGAGUUUCGCAUGAAACUUUAACCAAAGGAGUAAUCUGCUUUGAGAUGGGCCCGCGUCCCAUUAGCUAGUUGGUAAGGUAAUGGCUUACCAAGGCAACGAUGGGUAGCCGACCUGAGAGGGUGAUCGGCCACAUUGGAACUGAGACACGGUCCAGACUCCUACGGGAGGCAGCAGUGGGGAAUAUUGCGCAAUGGGGGAAACCCUGACGCAGCAACGCCGCGUGGGUGAUGAAGGUUUUCGGAUCGUAAAACCCUGUUUUCUGGGACGAUAAUGACGGUACCAGAUGAGGAAGCCACGGCUAACUACGUGCCAGCAGCCGCGGUAAUACGUAGGUGGCAAGCGUUGUCCGGAUUUACUGGGCGUAAAGGGUGCGUAGGCGGAUACUUAAGUGAGAUGUGAAAUACCUAGGCUUAACUUAGGGGCUGCAUUUCAAACUGGGCAUCUAGAGUACAGGAGAGGGAAACGGAAUUCCUAGUGUAGCGGUGAAAUGCGUAGAGAUUAGGAAGAACACCAGUGGCGAAGGCGGUUUCCUGGACUGUAACUGACGCUGAGGCACGAAAGCGUGGGUAGCAAACAGGAUUAGAUACCCUGGUAGUCCACGCCGUAAACGAUGAAUACUAGGUGUAGGAGGGUCCAACCUUCUGUGCCGCA